rnacentral:rRNA from 1 species
UGGGGAAUUUUGGACAAUGGGGGCAACCCUGAUCCAGCCAUGCCGCGUGCGGGAAGAAGGCCUUCGGGUUGUAAACCGCUUUUGUUCGGGAAGAAAUCCUCUGGGCUAAUACCCUGGGGGGAUGACGGUACCGGAAGAAUAAGCACCGGCUAACUACGUGCCAGCAGCCGCGGUAAUACGUAGGGUGCGAGCGUUAAUCGGAAUUACUGGGCGUAAAGCGUGCGCAGGCGGUUGUGCAAGACAGAUGUGAAAUCCCCGGGCUUAACCUGGGAACUGCAUUUGUGACUGCACGGCUAGAGUGCGGCAGAGGGGAGUGGAAUUCCGCGUGUAGCAGUGAAAUGCGUAGAUAUGCGGAGGAACACCGAUGGCGAAGGCAGCUCCCUGGGCCUGCACUGACGCUCAUGCACGAAAGCGUGGGGAGCAAACAGGAUUAGAUACCCUGGUAGUCCACGCCCUAAACGAUGUCAACUGGUUGUUGGUCCUUCACUGGAUCAGUAACGUAGCUAACGCGUGAAGUUGACCGCCUGGGGAGUACGGCCGCAAGGUUGA